AAUAGAUACCCCGGUAGUCCACGCCGUAAACGAUGAGUGCUAAGUGUUAGAGGGUUUCCGCCCUUUAGUGCUGAAGUUAACGCAUUAAGCACUCCGCCUGGGGAGUACGGCCGCAAGGCUGAAACUCAAAGGAAUUGACGGGGGCCCGCACAAGCGGUGGAGCAUGUGGUUUAAUUCGAAGCAACGCGAAGAACCUUACCAGGUCUUGACAUCCUCUGACAACCCUAGAGAUAGGGCGUUCUCCUUCGGGAGCAGAGUGACAGGUGGUGCAUGGUUGUCGUCAGCUCGUGUCGUGAGAUGUUGGGUUAAGUCCCGCAACGAGCGCAACCCUUGAUCUUAGUUGCCAUCAUUAAGUUGGGCACUCUAAGGUGACUGCCGGUGACAAACCGGAGGAAGGUGGGGAUGACGUCAAAUCAUCAUGCCCCGUUAUGACCUGGGCUACACACGUGCUACAAUGGACGGUACAAAGAGUUGCAAGACCGCGAGGUGGAGCUAAUCUCAUAAAACCGUUCUCAGUUCGGACUGUAGGCUGAAACUCG
rnacentral:rRNA from 1 species